GCAACGAGCGCAACCCUUAUCUUUAGUUGCUACCAUUUAGUUGAGAACUCUAAAGAGACUGCCGGUGAUAAACCGGAGGAAGGCGGGGACGACGUCAAGUCAUCAUGGCCCUUAUGGGAUGGGCUACACACGUGCUACAAUGGGGGGUACAAAGAGCAGCUAGCUGGCGACAGUGCGCGAAUCUCAUAAAACCUCUCGUAGUCCGGAUCGGAGUCUGCAACUCGACUCCGUGAAGUCGGAAUCGCUAGUAAUCGUGAAUCAGAAUGUCACGGUGAAUACGUUCCCGGGCCUUGUACACACCGCCCGUCACACCAUGGGAGUGGGUUGCAAAAGAAGUGGGUAGUCUAACCUUCGGGAGGGCGCUCACCACUUUGUGAUUCAUGACUGGGGUGAAGUCGACACAAGGUAGCC
rnacentral:rRNA from 1 species